GAUGAAGAACGUAGCGAAAUGCGAUAAGUAAUGUGAAUUGCAGAAUUCAGUGAAUCAUCGAAUCUUUGAACGCACAUUGCGCCCCUUGGUAUUCCAUGGGGCAUGCCUGUUCGAGCGUCAUUUGUACCUUCAAGCUUUGCUUGGUGUUGGGUGUUUGUCUCGCCUUUGCGUGUAGACUCGCCUUAAAAUAAUUGGCAGCCGGCGUAUUGAUUUCGGAGCGCAGUACAUCUCGCGCUUUGCACUCAUAACGACAGCGUCCAAAAGUACAUUUUACACUCUUGACCUCGGAUCAGGUAGGGAUACCCGCUGAACUUAAGCAUAUCAAUAGCGGAGGA
rnacentral:misc_RNA from 1 species